rnacentral:lncRNA from 1 species
AUGUACUUUAUUUUCCAGCAGGCUGUUGAUGAGCAGGGUAUCCCAGGGAUGGAGCGAGUGGAUAGCAUGGCAGAGUAUUUGGUGGGGCUUAGGACUGUAACUGGCCAAACACUGAGCAAUCAGCAGGCCAGCACAAUUAUAGCCCUUUGGCAGAACCUCCUGCCAUAUGACCAGCAGAGGGUGGUGUAUGCUGCACGGCACCAGGUGCGUCUGACCACAGGACGCUUCAGGGUUUCAAAAAAGAGAGCUGAAUUUACUCCAGGUGUGGAGAGCAUGACGCGUUGCUUUUUGGCGUCUUCGGGGUCCCCCGCCCAGUGGCCAGGCUGCAGUCGUCUUGUAGAGUCCAUCUGUGUCAAGCUGUGUAACAUUCACAAGAGCCCCAAAAAACAGGGCAGUUACGCUCUGACAAGAUGGACUCUGAUUGUCACUGACUACGGGAAGAUCAGGCAGCUGGUCCUGGGUAAUGCCACUGUCAUGCAAAGCACUGCUCUGCAAUUGUUUGACAUAAAUCAAACAACGCUGGUGCAGUGGCACAACAGGAGACUGAAGAGGCAGGACAGCAGUAUUCUUCUUCAAGGGGUAAACUUGCCUGCCGCUAUUCCGGUUGCUCCUGCUCCUCUCCCACCUGUACAGAUGCGCCCCACAGCUGCACCCCCACACCCUGGACCCCAUCUUCAGUACCACUUGCCCCAAAGUACAGCAGGACAGGCAGUGGUCAGGAGGAAGUCUGCAACUCAGAGGCAGUUGUUCCCUCAGCCGGCACCUACACCUAGCACCACAGCACAAACACCUGGAGUCCAACAGAUCGCUCCUUCUGGCCCACUGCCUUCCCCACCACCUGUCCGCAGGACUUACACCCGGACAGUGGCUCAAAAUAAAUGCAGUCGGUGCCAGCAGCCCCGCAACACAGACACUGGUCACCGACAGUAUUAUGGGCACAUAUACUGUCCCCAAAAAAACACCAUGCCAGUGGAGCAAUGGAUGGAGGAGAUGCGGAGAAAAAGGGCAGAAAAAAAAUAG